rnacentral:rRNA from 1 species
UACGUAGGAGACGAGCGUUGUCCGGAGUUACUGGGCGUAAAGAGCGCGCAGGCGGUCGUUCAAGUCGCGUGUGAAAGCCCCCGGCUCAACUGGGGAGGGUCACGCGAUACUGAUCGACUCGAAGGCAGGAGAGGGAAGUGGAAUUCCCGGUGUAGUGGUGAAAUGCGUAGAUAUCGGGAGGAACACCAGUGGCGAAGGCGACUUACUGGACACAUAUUGACGCUGAGGUGCGAAAGCGUGGGGAGCAAACAGG